rnacentral:rRNA from 1 species
AAAUCGUACCCCAAACCGACACAGGUGGUCAGGUAGAGAAUACCAAGGCGCUUGAGAGAACUCGGGUGAAGGAACUAGGCAAAAUGGUGCCGUAACUUCGGGAGAAGGCACGCUGACACGUAGGUGAAGUGAUUUACUCAUGGAGCUGAAGUCAGUCGAAGAUACCAGCUGGCUGCAACUGUUUAUUAAAAACACAGCACUGUGCAAACACGAAAGUGGACGUAUACGGUGUGACGCCUGCCCGGUGCCGGAAGGUUAAUUGAUGGGGUCAGCG